AGAGAUUUAUUUGUUUUUGAUAACCGUCAUACUCUUUAGCGGAUUCGAGGCCAGAGUCAGCCAUCAUAACCACUCAAUAUGCAAGUUUGGCUUGUGCUGGGAUUGAGCAGCAUGUCACCAGAAGUCUCAUCGCUUGGACAAGCAGCAUCCCUCUUGAUUGGAGAAACUACCGAUGUCGGCCGAGUUAUGGAUCUCCCUUUUCACCUUUCAAUGUCCUCGUGUACACCCAUGUGAGUGUGGGUGUAUUCACGAGGACACCCUUUUUACCCUAUCCCGUAUUUAACUCUUCAGCGGAUGGAUGGAGCAACUGUGGAUGCCUGGCUGUA